CGGACCGCCGCGCCCCUGCCCCGCCCUCCACGGCCGCCCCUGGAGCCGGAGGGUCCCACUGGGUCACACAUCCCGGAUUAUGGACUCCCGAUCCCAGUUGCUGCUGGAGGAUGUGGUCCGGCUGCGGGGGUCCUCGCGGCGCACCGAGGCCAGGCGCUCUGGUGACAAGUAGCGGCGGACACUGCUAAAAGAGAGCACACAGUUGGGGGCAGAGCCUUCGAGGCCAGCAGGCAAGUGCCAUGAGCGGUCGACAUCCUCCCUGCACCUUCUGCUGCUGGAGCUCAGGCAAACAAACCACCUCUGUCUCCCACGAGGUCUUGGAAGAGGCUGGGGGUCCCGGCCUUGUGCCUUACCUGCGCCCGGAGGUCGCCUCCUUCUUGGGAGAGGAUGGGGACGUGGCAUAGCCACCCACGCGCCGCGGGGGUCCCGAGCCAUUAAGGGGCGUCCUGGUGGGAAGGCCUUUCAAGAGCUGACACACUGGAGGGAUGGGGACAGAAGAGGGUGAGUGUGAGGACCAGGCCCCGGUCCUCCCCAUCCCACCCCUCCAGUCUAACCGGGAUACCCGAGGCAGUGGUGCCUAAGCGCGGAGGCGCCCGGCCCUUGGGGGUGCCCCGCGCGCGGAGCGCAGCUCCCUGUUCUUCGCACGCCCGCAGGCGACGCAGAGCAUCCGCCAGCGCCGCCUUUAGGACCGCCAGCUCGUCUUCCUGUAACUGCAGCCGCUGCUCCAGCGCCGACACGCGGUCGUCCACUUCCAUACCGCUCGUGCCCGACAAAUUGUCAUCUGAAAGACGGGGGAGUGCCCGCUGCAGGGCCACCCAGGAGCUCCAGUACCCAACGGGUCCCUCCCGCCUUCCUGGGUCAAAGCGAGGGGGCCAGCCACGCCCCUUUCCUGUCCCGCUACCUGAGGCUGGGACACUUGGAGAUGGGCCAAGGAAGAGGACUCUGAAGGGGGAAGGAAAUCCCCACCGCUCUCCAACCCAUCCCCACACUCCUCUCUGCUGCAGCGCGCUGGCCCUGUGACCUUGGGGAAGUCCCUUCCAUCUUAUUUUCUAAGAUUCUGUGAACCCAGGAGCCUCUCGCUCUGGCUUUAAGAUUCUAUGACUAAGACGUGGCCAGGCACGGUGGCUCAGGCAUGUAACCCUAGCACUUUGGGAGGCCGAGGCGGGCGGAUCACGAGGUCAGGAGAUCGAGAGCAUCCUGGCCAACACGGUGAAACCCCGUCUCUACUAAAAUACAAAAAGAAAAAGAAAAAAAAA